rnacentral:rRNA from 1 species
CAGAAACUGUUGAACUUGAGUGCAGAAGAGGNNNGUGGAANUNNNNNNNNNNCGGUGGAAUGNNUAGAUAUAUGGAAGAACACCAGUGGCGAAGGCGGCUCUCNGGUCUGCAACUGACGCUGAGGCUCGAAAGCAUGGGUAGCGAACAGGAUUAGAUACCCUGGUAGUCCAUGCCGUAAACGAUGAGUGCUAAGUGUUGGGAGGUUUCCGCCUCUCAGUGCUGCAGCUAACGCAUUAAGUACUCCGCCUGGGGAGUACGACCGCAAGGUUGAAACUCAAAGGAAUUGACGGGGGCCCGCACAAGCGGUGGAGCAUGUGGUUUAAUUCGAAGCAACGCGAAGAACCUUACCAGGUCUUGACAUCCUUUGACCACUCUAGAGAUAGAGCUUCCCCUUCGGGGGCAAAGUGACAGGUGGUGCAUGGUUGUCGUCAGCUCGUGUCGUGAGAUGUUGGGUUAAGUCCCGCAACGAGCGCAACCCUUAUUGUUAGUUGCCAUCAUUUAGUUGGGCACUCUAGCAAGACUGCCGGUGACAAACCGGAGGAAGGUGGGGAUGACGUCAAAUCAUCAUGCCCCUUAUGACCUGGGCUACACACGUGCUACAAUGGGAAGUACAACGAGUCGCAAAGUCGCGAGGCUAAGCUAAUCUCUUAAAGCUUCUCUCAGUUCGGAUUGUAGGCUGCAACUCGCCUACAUGAAGCCGGAAUCGCUAGUAAUCGCGGAUCAGCACGCCGCGGUGAAUACGUUCCCGGGCCUUGUACACACCGCCCGUCACACCACGAGAGUUUGUAACACCCGAAGUCGGUGAGGUAACCUUUUGGGGCCAGCCGCCUAAGGUGGGAUAGAUGAUUGGGGUGAAGUCGUAACAAGGUAGCCGUAA